GCCUCCGUAGCUCAGAUGGCAGAGCGUCCGCCUUGUAAGCGGCAGGUCGCCGGUUCGAACCCGGCCGGAGGCU
rnacentral:tRNA from 1 species